rnacentral:rRNA from 1 species
CCUACGGGUGGCAGCAGUGGGGGAUAUUGCACAAUGGGGGAAACCCUGAUGCAGCGACGCCGCGUGUGGGAAGACGGUCCUCUGGAUUGUAAACCACUGUCCCCAGGGACGAAGAUGACGGUACCUGGGGAGGAAGCUCUGGCUAACCACGUGCCAGCAGCCGCGGUAAUACGUAGGGAGGGAGCGUUGUCCGGAAUUACUGGGUGGAAGGGGAGCGUAGGCGGGGAUGCAAGUUGGGUGUCAAAACUACGGGCUCAACUGGUAGUCGCACUCAAAACUGGAGCACUUGAGUGAAGUAGAGGCAGGCGGAAUUCCUAGUGUAGCGGUGAAAUGCGUAGAUAUUAGGAGGAACACCAGAGGCGAAGGCGGCCUACUGGGCUUUUACUGACGCUGAGGCUCGAAAGUGUGGGGAGCAAACAGGAUUAGAUACCCGGGUAGUC